UACGGAGGGUGCAAGCGUUAUCCGGAAUCACUGGGUUUAAAGGGUGCGUAGGCGGCUUGGUAAGUCAGAGGUGAAAGCUCACGGCUCAACUGUGGAAUUGCCCCUGAUACUGCCAGGCUUGAAUCGGCGCGAGGCAGGCGGAAUGUGGCAUGUAGCGGUGAAAUGCUUAGAUAUGCCAUAGAACACCGAUUGCGAAGGCAGCCUGCCAGAGCCGUUAUUGACGCUGAGGCACGAAAGCGUGGGGAGCGAACAGG
rnacentral:rRNA from 1 species